AUACGGAGGGGGCUAGCGUUGUUCGGAAUUACUGGACGUAAAGCGUACGUAGGCGGACUGAUCAGUUGGGGGUGAAAUCCCAGGGCUUAACCCUGGAACUGCCUUCAAUACUGUCAGUCUUGAGAUUGGAAGAGGUGAGUGGAAUUCCUAGUGUAGAGGUGAAAUUCAUAGAUAUUAGGAGGAACACCAGUGGCGAAGGCGGCUCACUGGUCCAAUACUGACGCUGAGGUACGAAAGCGUGGGGAGCAAACAGGAUUAGAAACCCCAGUAGUCC
rnacentral:rRNA from 1 species